GAUGAACGCUGGCGGCGUGCCUAAUACAUGCAAGUCGAGCGAACGGACGAGAAGCUUGCUUCUCUGAUAUUAGCGGCGGACGGGUGAGUAACACGUGGAUAACCUACCUAUAAGACUGGGAUAACUUCGGGAAACCGUAGCUAAUACCGGAUAAUAUUUUGAACCGCAUGGUUCAAAAGUGAAAGACGGUCUUGCUGUCACUUAUAGAUGGAUCCGCGCUGCAUUAGCUAGUUGGUAAGGUAACGGCUUACCAAGGCAACGAUGCAUAGCCGACCUGAGAGGGUGAUCGGCCACACUGGAACUGAGACACGGUCCAGACUCCUACGGGAGGCAGCAGUAGGGAAUCUUCCGCAAUGGGCGAAAGCCUGACGGAGCGACGCCGCGUGAGUGAUGAAGGUCUUCGGAUCGUAAAACUCUGUUAUUAGGGAAGAACAUAUGUGUAAGUAACUGUGCACAUCUUGACGGUACCUAAUCAGAAAGCCACGGCUAACUACGUG
rnacentral:rRNA from 1 species